rnacentral:rRNA from 1 species
UACGUAGGGUGCAAGCGUUGUCCGGAAUUAUUGGGCGUAAAGAGCUCGUAGGCGGUUUGUCGCGUCUGCUGUGAAAACGCGAGGCUCAACCUCGCGCCUGCAGUGGGUACGGGCAGACUAGAGUGCGGGUAGGGGAGAAUUGGAAUUCCUGGUGUAGCGGUGGAAUGCGCAGAUAUCAGGAGGAACACCGAUGGCGAAGGCAGAUCUCUGGGCCGUAACUGGACGCUGAGGAGCGAAAGCGUGGGGAGCGAACAGG